rnacentral:rRNA from 1 species
GACGAACCGAGCGAACGUUGUUCGGAAUCACUGGGCUUAAAGGGCGCGUAGGCGGGCUGUCAAGUCUGGGGUGAAAUCCCGCGGCUCAACCGUGGAACUGCCUCAGAUACUGACGGCCUCGAGGGAGGUAGGGGCGAGCGGAACUCUCAGUGGAGCGGUGAAAUGCGUUGAUAUUGGGAGGAACUCCGGUGGCGAAGGCGGCUCGCUGGACCUUUUCUGACGCUGAGUCGCGAAAGCCAGGGGAGCAAACGGG